rnacentral:rRNA from 1 species
CCUACGGGUGGCAGCAGUGGGGAAUAUUGGACAAUGGGGGCAACCCUGAUCCAGCCAUGCCGCGUGUGUGAAGAAGGUCCUCGGGUUGUAAAGCACUUUCAGUGAGGAAGAACGCCUGGUGGUUAAUACCCAUCAGGAAAGACAUCACUCACAGAAGAAGCACCGGCUAACUCCGUGCCAGCAGCCGCGGUAAUACGGAGGGUGCGAGCGUUAAUCGGAAUUACUGGGCGUAAAGCGCGCGUAGGUGGCUUGAUAAGCCGGUUGUGAAAGCCCCGGGCUCAACCUGGGAACGGCAUCCGGAACUGUCAAGCUAGAGUGCAGGAGAGGAAGGUAGAAUUCCCGGUGUAGCGGUGAAAUGCGUAGAGAUCGGGAGGAAUACCAGUGGCGAAGGCGGCCUUCUGGACUGACACUGACACUGAGGUGCGAAAGCGUGGGUAGCAAACAGGAUUAGAUACCCCUGUAGUC